GACGGAGGAUGCAAGUGUUAUCCGGAAUCACUGGGCGUAAAGCGUCUGUAGGUGGUCAAAUAAGUCAACUGUUAAAUCUUGAGGCUCAACCUCAAAAUCGCAGUCGAAACUAUUAGACUAGAGUAUAGUAGGGGUAAAGGGAAUUUCCAGUGGAGCGGUGAAAUGCGUAGAUAUUGGGAGGAACACCAGUGGCGAAGGCGGCUCACUGGACCGGAACUGACGCUGAGGCGCGAAAGCGUGGGGAGCAAACAGG
rnacentral:rRNA from 1 species